UGGUCACGGUGCAAGGGGCGUGCCUAAACUGAAAGGAGACGUAGGUGUAAUCGCUUGACCAAUCCGGAAUCUCCUGCCGGAAAAGAGAGGUUGCUUUCCACUACUGAACGCAACAGACCUCAGUUCUGGUGAGAAUUUUGGACGCAGAUUAUCCCUAGCAAUAUUAACGCGUAGGAUUCCAUUCUCUGCGUGGUCUGUGUCCCUUGUCUUUGCGUUCUUAUCGCCCCCCCCUCCAUCAGGAACACUUGAACCUUUCAAGGCCUGGCUAAUGUUUUAAAUUCGUUCAGUGUUUUUAACGUUUUCUACAAUAUAAAUUCUGUCAAAAAAAAAGCAAGCCUGACUUCCUCAGGGCCUUCGCCAACAUCUGUUCUUCCCUUAAAUAUUUGUUCAGAAAGAAAAUGAUUCAUCAUUUCCUAUGGCUUCAUAGUACAAAUUGUUUGCUGACUGGCUUGGAGAAAUCCCCACACGCUUAACCUCAUGAAAGUCUUCUGUGUUGUCAUUGUGUGAAAGAGAAAACUCACCUUCUCUUACCUGAAGCCUAGUGUUUGCCAAAGAAGAAAAAUGAAUGUGAUGACUUACAUGUGGCAUGCAAGAUAUAAAUUGAAUGACAGUUCAGAUUGAUAUCACAUUGUUGAAUCUGAAGUGGCAAUGGAGAUAAUUAUGUUUCUUAUUCACCGUUGUUACAUGAGGAAUGCAGAAGAAACCACAUUUGUAUUAAAUUUUUAAGAUAUUUGUAUGUCUAAUUCUACAUAGGUAUAGUUAUGUGUGUAAACAUUCACUUUUUUUCUUAUCACCAAAAUUUUAUUUGUAUUCAACGUGUAUGUACAACACCCAGACACAACAUACAAAGUUGUGUUUACUUUUCAAUGAUGUUUCACUUCAUUUUUAGCCAGACUGUUUACAUAUUUAAAUGUUUAAACACAUCUGCUAUGUUGGUCCACUUAUUUCAAUGAUUUGUUCUUUAUUUUUACUGUUAUAUCUUAAUAAAAUUGUAUAAAACUCUGUA